rnacentral:rRNA from 1 species
UGGGGAAUUUUGGACAAUGGGCGAAAGCCUGAUCCAGCAAUGCCGCGUGUGUGAAGAAGGCCUUCGGGUUGUAAAGCACUUUUGUCCGGAAAGAAAUCCUUGGCUCUAAUACAGUCGGGGGAUGACGGUACCGGAAGAAUAAGCACCGGCUAACUACGUGCCAGCAGCCGCGGUAAUACGUAGGGUGCAAGCGUUAAUCGGAAUUACUGGGCGUAAAGCGUGCGCAGGCGGUUUGCUAAGACCGAUGUGAAAUCCCCGGGCUCAACCUGGGAACUGCAUUGGUGACUGGCAGGCUAGAGUAUGGCAGAGGGGGGUAGAAUUCCACGUGUAGCAGUGAAAUGCGUAGAGAUGUGGAGGAAUACCGAUGGCGAAGGCAGCCCCCUGGGCAAAUACUGACGCUCAUGCACGAAAGCGUGGGGGAGCAAACAGGAUUAGAUACCCUGGUAGUCCACGCCCUAAACGAUGUCACUAGUUGUUGGGGAUUCAUUUCCUUAGUAACGUAGCUAACGCGUGAAGUUGACCGCCUGGGGAGUACGGUCGCAAGGUUAAAA